UACAGAGGGGGCGAGCGUUGUUCGGAAUUACUGGGCGUAAAGGGCGCGUAGGCGGCCUGCUAAGUCAUACGUGAAAUCCCUCGGCUCAACCGAGGAACUGCGUCUGAUACUGGUUGGCUUGAAUUCGGGAGAGGGAUGCGGAAUUCCAGGUGUAGCGGUGAAAUGCGUAGAUAUCUGGAGGAACACCGGUGGCGAAGGCGGCAUCCUGGACCGAGACUGACGCUGAGGCGCGAAGGCGUGGGGAGCAAACAGG
rnacentral:rRNA from 1 species